CAAGUCGAGCGAGAAAAGGGGGGCAACUCCCUGAGUACAGCGGCGCACGGGUGAGUAACACGUGGGUAAUCUGCCCUGGAGUGGGGAAUAACACCGGGAAACCGGUGCUAAUACCGCAUACGAUCAUGAGGUCUGCGGACUUUGUGGUGAAAGGAGCAAUUCGCUCUAGGAGGAGCCCGCGGCUGAUUAGCUAGUUGGUGAGGUAAUGGCUCACCAAGGCUACGAUCAGUAUCCGGUCUGAGAGGACGGUCGGACACACUGGAACUGAGACACGGUCCAGACUCCUACGGGAGGCAGCAGUGGGGAAUUUUUGGCAAUGGGGGCAACCCUGACCAAGCAACGCCGCGUGGGUGAUGAAGUCUCUUGGGACGUAAAACCCUUUCGACGGGGAAGAAAACCGCAAGGUUUGACGGUACCCGUAGAAGAAGCCCCGGCUAACUCCGUGCCAGCAGCCGCGGUAAUACGGGGGGGGCAAGCGUUGUUCGGAAUUACUGGGCGUAAAGGGCGCGUAGGCGGUUCGCUAAGUUGGAUGUGAAAACUCUGGGCUCAACCCAGAGCCUGCAUCCAAAACUGGCGGGCUAGAGUUCUGGAGGGGGUAGCGGAAUUCCUGGUGUAGCGGUGAAAUGCGUAGAUAUCAGGAGGAACACCGGUGGCGAAGGCGGCUACCUGGACAGAAACUGACGCUGAGGCGCGAAAGCUAGGGGAGCAAACAGGAUUAGAUACCCUGGUAGUCCUAGCCCUAAACGAUGGAUACUUGGUGUGACUGGGAUUGAAUCCAGUCGUGCCGAAGCUAACGCAUUAAGUAUCCCCGCCUGGGGAGUACGGUCGCAAGGCUGAAACUCAA
rnacentral:rRNA from 1 species